AAUUAACACCGGACGACUCCUCAGCCGCCGGACGGCCCGGCAGCAGAGCCCUUUUUGCGGGAGGAAGGGCUGCAAGUCCCGCUUCCGCUUCCGCGCCGCUUCUAACCCGACAGCGGAAGUGCCGGGACCCCUAUAAACGGCACAAGGAAGCGCGACACGCACACGCCGUCGCGACGCCACGCUGCCAUCUAGGGCCCGCCGCUCCUUGUACGGGCACAGGAGGUGGGGCCUGCUGCCUGACGUCGAAGUCGAGGCGGGGCUCCGAUAGGGGGAACCUGGGGCUGGGGGCGGGGCCUAUGCAAAUCGCUGGGCUGAAACAUAAAUAGAGCACUCCGCGGACACGGGGGUGGCGGGGGCGGCCGGGUUGGAUGCGCGGUGGGUUGUGAGAAUGUCAGGCUCCUGUGACGCGGGAGGCGGGGCCCAGGCGGGGUUCCCGCGGGAGGGGGCGGGCCGCCGGGCCGGGCCUGAGGUGGGUGGGUCCCUGCGCCCCCUGCCUGCUCAACUUCCCUCUCCAGCUCCCGGCUCGUCUUUGAUGUCCGACAAAGUCUGACCCUGGGCGUAUGUGUCUGUGGCUCUAUAGGCCUGUGUCCUGGACGAGGUACUUGACAAACUGUGCUGGAACCUGCCUCAUCUCCUGCCACCUCAGAGCUUUCAGGUCCUCUGAAGACUACGUCUGGAAGGCCUCCCAGCUGCCUGCACACAUGCAGGGACAAGGCAUGGAGUAUUCAAGCGCCUUUUGGAGCAAGCUUUUCACCAUCUUGUACUGCCUGACUCAGAAGAUAAGAAUGAGGGGAUCUCAGUCUUUUGACGAUGUGCCAGCUGUGCUGUACAGGAAGGGAGAGAAUGAGCGGAGCUGCCGGAGGAGGGAUGUGCAGUCGAGUGUAGGAAGAACUGCCGCUGCCAGCCUCCACGUGCUGGAGGAGCUCACGGAAGGAGCUGCAGGGUCCCCACAGGCAGACUUCUCACCCGCAUCGACCGAGCACCUUCUGGAGAUUCCCUGAAAAUGGCAAUACCAUUACCAUUCUUGGAUUCCCAGGAAUACAGAGCCUCUCCCAACAAGUGUUUGCCUGGCUGUGCACAGUAAUCUCAACACCGGUGUCCCAGGAAAUGGCCCACAAUUUCACCAUAUUCAGGAAGUCCUGUUGAAGAAAUGUAGAGAGCUGUGUUUUCUUGGGAGGGUCACUGACUCAAUGACCUCCAUUUCCAGGCUGUUUGCCCAUUGUAAUCAAUUUUUCCUUCUGUUACGCACAUUUAUGAAAUAUUGGGUACCUGGCUUUUCUUAGGGAUGCAUGUCUAACUCCACAUAACUCUACAUGGUUUCAGUUGUUUACAAGGCAAUCUUGGGUGAUCCUAGCAACUCUAUUGCUGUCAUUUUAAGACCAUUAGAACCUUAGAAACGUCCUAAGAGUCCUCCUUUUUUUAUUCUUCUUGCUUAUUUUUAAAUGGAAGGAAGUCUUAUGAGGUAGCAAGGUGGUGAGGAGGAAGACACUGCUUUAGCUCCUGCUAGUUAUUCCAUGUUAUGCUUGAGCUUGUUAUUUGCAUCUGGUCUCUAUUUGUUAGCAUCAAUGGACUGUGUUUGCAUAACUAGAUCAAAUUAUGAAAGGACUUUGAUUUUGAAUGGUUAAUUCACACACACAGUCAAGCU
rnacentral:lncRNA from 1 species